AUUGAACGCUGGCGGCAGGCCUAACACAUGCAAGUCGAACGAGUGGCGGACGGGUGAGUAAUGUCUGGGACACUUCCUGAUGGAUGGGGAUAACUACUGGAAACGGUAGCUAAUACCGCAUACCAUCGGAUGUGCCCAGAUGGGAUUAGCUCGUAGGUGGGGGAAAGGCUCACCUAGGCGACGAUCCCUAGCUGGUCUGAGAGGAUGACAAGACAAAAUGGAACUGAGACACGGUCCAGACUCCUACGGGAGGCAGCAGUGGGGAAUAGUGCACAAUGGGCGAAAGCCUGAUGCAGCCAUGCCGCGUGUAUGAAGAAGGCCGUCGGGUUGUAAAGUACUUUCAGCGGGGAGGCGUUACCCGCAGAAGAAGCACCGGCUAACUCCGUGCCAGCAGCCGCGGUAAUAC
rnacentral:rRNA from 1 species